GUGCUCGCAGCACAUAUACUAAAAUUGGAAUGAUACAGAGAAGAUUAGCAUGACCCCUGCGCAAGGAUGACAUGUAAAUUCGUGAAACGUUCCAUAUUUUU
ensembl:snRNA U6 U6 spliceosomal RNA